AACGAACGCUGGCGGCAGGCUUAACACAUGCAAGUCGAGCGCCUCGCAAGGGGAGCGGCAGACGGGUGAGUAACGCGUGGGAACAUGCCCAAAGGUACGGAACAACUCCGGGAAACUGGAGCUAAUACCGUAUGUGACCGAGAGGUGAAAGAUUUAUCGCCUUUGGAUUGGCCCGCGUUGGAUUAGCUAGUUGGUGGGGUAAAGGCCUACCAAGGCGACGAUCCAUAGUUGGUCUGAGAGGAUGAUCAGCCACACGGGGACUGAGACACGGCCCAGACUCCUACGGGAGGCAGCAGUGGGGAAUAUUGGACAAUGGGCGCAAGCCUGAUCCAGCCAUGCCGCGUGUGUGAUGAAGGCCUUAGGGUUGUAAAGCACUUUCGCCAGGGACGAUAAUGACGGUACCUGGAUAAGAAGCCCCGGCUAACUUCGUGCCAGCCGCCGCCGUAAGAC
rnacentral:rRNA from 1 species